CACAAGACAGGGCACUGGCGAUGCCUCAAUUUCUGCAGUAAUUUUAGAACAACAGGGACAAGAAACAGUAGUGAACCAAAAGGUAAAAUAAGCUGCUCAUAAUAUUCUAAAAGUUAGUCUGUCAUCCUGAACAAUUAAAAGACCUGGAAUGUCUUGCACAUUUGUAAGACGUAAUAGGUUGCAUGGGACAACUAAAUUAGAUCAUUAAUGGCUCGACAAGAGAUAGCAUGUUGAAAUUUUAAAGAAGACAGCCAGACAGUAAAAUCACCACCACAAGCAACACCAGUCACUUCUGUCACAAGACAGGGCACUGGCGAUGCCUCAAUUUCUGCAGUAAUUUGAGAACAGGGACAAGAAACAGUAGUGUAAGAACCAAAAGGUAAAAUAAGCUGCUCAUAAUAUUCUAAAAGUUAGUCUGUCAUCCUGAAAUCGUUUCCCACCCACGCGCCGGUCGCCCCCUCGCGCGCGUGGACCCAUGCAACAUUUUUCCCAUCCGCGUGCUUCGCUGGUCAGUGGAUGCAACAUUUUUCGUCUAAAUAUGUUGCAUCCAGCGUCAUAUUUGCUGCAAGCGUUUUUUUUUCUAUUUUUUGUCCCAGUAAAAAAACUGCAUAUACGUUUGGUUGCAACUCCAGUUCGUCGGAUUUUUCGUUACAAUUGAUGUUUUUUACUUUUGCUACAACCGUGUUAAUUUUUGCUACAACCGGCAACAUGUUUUGCUGCAACCGUUCACUAAAAAAGUUGCAUACACGUCACAUAAAUAUUUGCUACAACCAGCGUUUGACUUUUGCUACCACGCACCAUCAGCUUCGUUUUUUUGCUACGAUCACGUAGAUUUUUUUUUUGCUACAAAUUUUGUUUUUUGUUGCAACCGUUGAAAAAAUUGUUGCAUCGCAUCGAAAUUUUGCUGCAUAGGGGGGGAAAUGUUGCAUGCGGAUCCAACGGUGCGGACGACGCGGGGUUGGUGGAUCCUGCGGCUCGCGCGCGGCCGGCCGAAAGUUUGGGCCGGCGCGCCGGCGCAGAUCAGUCCCCACAAUUAAAAGACCUGGAAUGUCUUGCACAUUUGUAAGACGUUAUAGGUUGCAUGGGACAACUAAAUUAGAUCAUUAAUGGCUCGACAAGAGAUAGCAUGUUGAAAUUUUUCAAAAGAACAAAUAUCAAGCAUUCUCCAAGCAGACACAGCCAUAAUUGCCCAAGUAAAGAUUAUUUCUGCACACAACAAUUUUACAAUGUUGAUGCCAUAUGAACCACAAAAGAAAUGAAAGAAGUACCAACCAUUCUUUAGGGAACCUGUCCCCAACUGUCCAAAUUUGUUGUGGCCAAAUGCGAAGGACUUCCCGUCG
rnacentral:lncRNA from 1 species